AGUGGCCUGGGAAGUGAGGAGGACAGCGAAGCCCCAAACCUCACCUUGGGAUACGGGAAGUGAAGCAGGUUCCAGAGAAGGGGACAAGAUAAUGACUUAGGGUAGGAUAAAUUUCAGACAAUUGCAGAGCAUCACAUUAGAUGUGUUCAGAAGAGUGGAAAUAAAGUUCUGUGCCUAGGCCCUCAUGCAGGAUUCUGUUGCUAGAAGUCAGUGCUGGCCGCAGGGAGACCGGAGAUCACAGUGGAGGCACCAGCGAUCCGAGAGUCCUAUGACGAAUCCCUGGGAUCCCCACAAUGUGUGGAGACAGAAGCCAACCAAAGAGCGAGAAAGCAUCUCCAAACCAGCAGAAUCAGGGGCAGGAGGCCCGCCAAAUGCACA
rnacentral:lncRNA from 1 species